rfam:Camelus ferus unplaced genomic scaffold scaffold1402, whole genome shotgun sequence.
GAAGGUAUAGCUCAAUUAAUAGAGCGCCUGCUUAGCAUGCGUUAGGUCCUGGGUUCAAUCCCCUGUACCUCCA